rnacentral:rRNA from 1 species
CCUACGGGAGGCAGCAGUGGGGGAUAUUGCACAAUGGGGGAAACCCUGAUGCAGCGACGCCGCGUGGGUGAAGAAGCGCCUCGGCGCGUAAAGCCCUGUCAGCAGGGAAGAAAAUGACGGUACCUGAAGAAGAAGCCCCGGCUAACUACGUGCCAGCAGCCGCGGUAAUACGUAGGGGGCAAGCGUUAUCCGGAUUUACUGGGUGUAAAGGGGGCGCAGACGGCGAUGCAAGCCAGGAGUGAAAGCCCGGGGGCCAACCCCGGGACUGCUCUUGGAACUGCGUGGCUGGAGUGCAGGAGGGGCAGGCGGAAUGCCUGGUGUAGCGGUGAAAUGCGUAGAUAUCAGGAGGAACACCGGUGGCGAAGGCGGCCUGCUGGACUGCAACUGACGUUGAGGCCCGAAAGCGUGGGGAGCAAACAGGAUUAGAUACCCGGGUAGUC